GGGCCGGUAGCUCAGUGGUAGAGCGGCAGACUCAUAAUCUGUUGGUCCCAGGUCCGAUCCCUGGCCGGCCCA
rnacentral:tRNA from 1 species